rnacentral:rRNA from 11 species
AUUUUAUUGAUCAGGUCUACUUUAUCAGAAUCCACAAGAAGAGUUGUUGCUCGGGGAGCUUGGCUGGAGCGACACAGCUGUUGAACGACUUUCGGUGGGCUCGAGAAGAACAGAACU